rnacentral:rRNA from 1 species
UGAGGAAUAUUGGUUAAUGGGCGCAAGCCUGAACCAGCCAUGCCGCGUGCAGGAUGAAGCAUUUAUGGUGUGUAAACUGCUUUUGUACGGGAAGAAACCACCCCUCGUGAGGGGUAUUGACGGUACCGUAAGAAUAAGGAUCGGCUAACUUCGUGCCAGCAGCCGCGGUAAUACGGAGGAUCCAAGCGUUAUCCGGAAUCACUGGGUUUAAAGGGUCCGUAGGCGGGUCUGUAAGUCAGUGGUGAAAUUUUCCCGCUCAACGGGGAAACUGCCAUUGAUACUGCAGGUCUUGGAUUAUUUGGAAAUAGCUAGAAUAUAUAGUGUAGCUGUGAAAUGCUUAGUGAUUACAUGAAAUACCGAUUGCGAAGGCAGGUUACUACCGAUGGAUUGACGCUGAUGGACGAAAGCGUGGGUAGCGAACA